rnacentral:rRNA from 1 species
GUGGGGAAUAUUGGGCAAUGGGGGAAACCCUGACCCAGCAACGCCGCGUGAAGGAAGAAGGCUUUCGGGUUGUAAACUUCUUUUAUGAGGGACGAAGAAGUGACGGUACCUCAUGAAUAAGCCACGGCUAACUACGUGCCAGCAGCCGCGGUAAUACGUAGGUGGCGAGCGUUGUCCGGAUUUACUGGGUGUAAAGGGCGAGUAGGCGGAUGAGCAAGUCAGAUGUGAAAUACCGGGGCUUAACCCCGGGGCUGCAUUUGAAACUGCUUAUCUUGAGUGAUGGAGAGGCAGGCGGAAUUCCCGGUGUAGCGGUGGAAUGCGUAGAUAUCGGGAGGAACACCAGUGGCGAAGGCGGCCUGCUGGACAUUAACUGACGCUGAGGAGCGAAAGCGUGGGGAGCAAACAGGAUUAGAUACCCCGGUAUCC